CUGGCUCAGGAUGAACGCUAGCGACAGGCUUAACACAUGCAAGUCGAGGGGCAGCACGGGAGUAGCAAUACAGCUGGUGGCGACCGGCGCACGGGUGAGUAACGCGUAUGCAACCUACCUAUCAGAGGGGAAUAACCCGGCGAAAGUCGGACUAAUACCGCAUAAAACAGGGGCACCGCAUGGUGAUAUUUGUUAAAGAAAUUCGCUGAUAGAUGGGCAUGCGUUCCAUUAGGUAGUUGGUGAGGUAACGGCUCACCAAGCCGACGAUGGAUAGGGGAACUGAGAGGUUGGUCCCCCACACUGGUACUGAGACACGGACCAGACUCCUACGGGAGGCAGCAGUGAGGAAUAUUGGUCAAUGGGCGAGAGCCUGAACCAGCCAAGUCGCGUGAAGGAAGAAGGAUCUAUGGUUCGUAAACUCCUUUUGCAGGGGAAUAAAGUGCAGGACGUGUCCUGUUUUGUAUGUACCCUGAGAAUAAGGAUCGGCUAACUCCGUGCCAGCCGCAGC
rnacentral:rRNA from 1 species